rfam:Equus caballus chromosome 9, whole genome shotgun sequence.
CAGCAACCGUUACUUCCCUUUCCCCCAACACACAUUCCCCUGGGUAUCCUCUCAAGUGUCGAUAUCGAAGAGAUAAGCCUCUUUGAAAAAAGAUUCAUAGCUAUAGAAAGAUGAAAAGAGAAGCUUCUUAAAACACCAGUUUAUCAAGAAAAAUGAAAGCAUGUGAAAUUGGGGCUGAAGGUCUUAGAGCAUGUCCCUGACACUC